rnacentral:lncRNA from 1 species
UAUCUCAUUAACAACUUUAAAUGAAGAUUUAUUUAUUUUUGUAAGAAUAUCUAUAUUAUCUAUUAUAGGUUUUGAGGCUCUUUUGGAGGUAUGUUCAUUGUUCUAUGAAGUUUUAUUAUUGUAUUUGACAAAUCUUUUGUUGUUGAGUUUUAACUUUUAAAGAGUCAAAAAUUAAAAAAUUAUGAAAAAUAAUUACAAUUUACAAAAAAAUAUGUUUUUUUAGGAAAAUAAUAUAUCUUAUUAUUAUAUAAAAAAAUUAAGUAAUUUUAAGAGAGUUCUCUAGUUGUCUUAGUGAUAAUUGAUGGUAUAUUAUAAAUAUGGCUUUAUUAUUUAAUUUAUAUACUACAUUUUUUCAUUAAUUUAAAGAUAAAAAGUAAAUAAAGUUGACAUGAUAACAACCUUUAAUAUGUUGGUUAGUAUUCUCAAAAAACUUAGUACAAACUAAGAUCUUUAAUUAAAAAAAUCAUUAAUAGAAAGUCUAGAAUAUUAAUAAUUACUAU